UAACGAUUGUGCCAUUCUCCUAGCUAAAGCGGACUAUUAUGGACGCUUUAUAUUUUAUCACAAACUGCAGCUACCGACAUGGUUUACGCAAGGACAUGACAGACUCUUAAAAGUGGCUUCUGUUUCAGCUAAACUUUAAGCAGAUAUACUGGAAAUUAUAAUGUCAAAAUACCCUUAUAAUUUUCACUGGAUAUACUUAGAUCAUUAGAAAACAAGAUGAAUAGGCCUACUGUAUUGACAGGGUUCGUGAUAUUGAUGAUUGUAACAUGUGUCACAUCAUUUGAAUGUUCCUGUCCACCAGGAGAGUAUGUCAAAGUUCCUUGUAAAGCAAUGAUAUCAGCAGUUUGCGAAAACUGCAAACCAAAUACUUAUAAUGGGCUAAGAGAUACCAGCACAUCGUGCGAUGAUUGUUUGCGUUUUUGUUACUACACAGCUGAAGUUGUAUCACCCUGUACGCCAAUUUCAAAUCUGAGAUGUAAAUGUAAAGAGGGAUAUAUGGAACAACAAAGUGUGGAUUCAAUGACAUCAUGCAUACUAAGGCCUAUAGUAAAAUCAACAGAACAAGUUGUUACCAACUCUUCAAACGACCGUUUGGAUUCUUCCAAUAAUUUCACGAAAUACACGACUACUGCAGAAGAUUUGAAAUCUUUACAUAAAAACGGCGCAAGAUGCUCAGGUAGCCUUCCAGUUUUAACAGUUUUCAUCUGUAUAAUAUUGGUUUUACUCUACAGCUGAUAAAACUACAAGCGACUAUUACUAUUACUGUGAUAUUCAAAAGCUGAUGUGAUAGUAUAAAUGAUAAGAUGUGCUUUCAAUCAUGGGGGUCUUCCUCAUAGCCUCAAAUACCGAAAAAAUGAACACAUAUACAAUGAGAACUAAUUUAGAUAGCUAUAAUAAAUAAUGCUUUAUGAUUUGAUAGCCCCAAUUUAACAAAAAGAGCAUACCCAAACAAUAUAAAUAGGCAUAGCGUCAUUAUGGAGGUUUAUGUUAAAUACCAUAUAAGCUAAUAAAGGUGUGUCAAGAGGUAUUUUAUUGUGAUCAGUAAAACAUAUGUUUAAUGGCGCAUUGGCUUUCUAGAGUAACCUAUGUUAAAUAUUUAACAAUAAAUACGAAAUUGGUUGUGAUUUUAUUUAUCUAUUUAUGACUAUGGCUUCCUGCGUGAACAAAUCUGUAGAACAAAUAUGAAAAAAUGUUGAAAAAAAAGAAUACAUAUAUUAUGGAGGCAUAAGAACAGAGGUGUAAAUAUACAUAUGGACAUAUCAUUAUUUAUAAGAUGUGGUUGUAUGAACCUUCCAAAACUGGGAUUUCAUAUGUAAUCUUCUCUAUACCGUAUUCAAUUAUAAUAUUUAUAAGAAGAUAUAUUUUCGCUAAAUAGGCCAAAUAUCCUUUUGAUCCAGCCUUAUCGGAAACAUUAAAAGUGAA